AACGAACGCUGGCGGCAUGCCUAACACAUGCAAGUCGAACGAUCCCUUCGGGGAUACUUGCUCACGGGUGCGUAACGCGUGGGAACCUGCCCUUAGGUUCGGAAUAACUCAGUGAAAUUUGGGCUAAUACCGGAUAAUGUCUUCUGACCAAAGAUUUAUCGCCUUUGGAUAGGCCCGCGUUGGUUUAGCUUGUUGGUGUGGUAAAAGCCUACCAAGGCUACGAUCCUUAGCUGGGCUGAGAGGAUGAUCAGCCACACUGGGACAGAGACACGUUCCAGACACCUGCAGUGAGCAGCAGUGGGGAAUAUUGGACGAGGGGGGAGAGCCUGAUACAGCCAUACCGCGUGGAUGAAGAAGGACUUCGGGUUGGUGAGCCCUUAUGUUGUUAGAGAAGAGCAGCAGGUUAAUACGCCAUUAUUAUGACGGUACCCAGAGAAUAAGCACCGGCUAACUUCGUG
rnacentral:rRNA from 1 species